rnacentral:miRNA from 1 species
CGCCAGUGAUAUUGAGAGAGU